CAUUAUGUUAUAUUAAAGAGUAACUAAUCAGCACAGUUCAUUCCUGGAUUUUAAUUUUUGUUUAACUUCACUUGUUAGAGAAUUUUCAGCUCAGAUUUUGUAUAUACUUCACAUCUUUACCAUGCUUUCUUAUCAUCCUAAUAACAUUUGGUGAAGAAUACCAAUUACUAAAUUCCCCACUGUGUAACUUCUUCAGCCUUCUCCCUCUUGGAAUAAAACAUUCUCCUUAGCACUCUGUUUCCAAAUACCCUCAAUUUACUCUCUUCCCUUAAUGUGAGUGAACAAAUUUUACACUUGUACACCAAGCAGGUUGGUUCAAGUGAUAUUGUUGUUGACAUCGACUGUCAGUAACCCCAUGUACUCAUGCCAGCUGAAGCAGUAACACUUUAUAUGUAGGAGAUGGCUGUGACAUGGAUUGCUUUGAUUGAAAUUUUUCAUGGUUUUCCUCAGUCCUACUGGGUAAAUGUUGGGAGGGUAGGGUUGGUGGCAGCAGUCUUCAUCUGUGGGCAUUACAGUCCAUGAUUAACACUGGCCUAUAUUUUACAGUUUCUUAAUCAUAGAUAGUUGGUAGGGCUCCGUGUGUUGGGGAUCAGCCCACUGCAAGGUCACUACCUAUAUAGUACAAUGUAAACAGAAUAAACACAAACAUCGAUGCUUCAAGUGAGAUUCGAACCCAUGACCCCAGUGUUUGACUGAACAAAGAGAGUUCUUGCCUUAGACCACGCAGCCAGUAUGAUCAGCAUAAACACCAGGAUAGUACUUCAACUUGACCAUGACUGCUUCCUUCCACAUUCUUUCCGGUUCAUUACUCACUAAUUAGCCCACAGUUCAUCACCAUACUAUUAGUUACUGACCAUGUCAUUAAGUAAACCAUGACCUCUAAAAAUUAACAAAUUCACACUUAUACAAAAGAGAAGACUAAAUUCUGGUUAUGUAUACUUUAAUAUUUUUUAUUUUAGAUUGGAACAAGCGCACACACAAAUAUUGUGGCAUAUAGACUCGUUGCUGGGCAACAACCACAAAAUAAGCAACUAUACAACAGCCACUGCUAGGAAAUGGCUCUGUAGACAAGCAUGUCUCCACAUCAGCAAGAGAAUACAGCAAUAAUGGAAGCAGUGUGUUCUACGCAGUCCAUGCCAAGAUGUUAUAAGCAGGGCCAGUUAGCUAAAACAUAAGUGGAGGCUAAGGAAAAUCUGACAAGUAACCUAGGAUCCAGCAUGUAAAACGGCAGUUAAUGGGGUUACCAAGACCAUCAGGAAUGACCCAUAGAAAGGCACUCGAACAGUGGGAAAGAAAAGUAGGCUCUGCGGCCUAUUGUGAAAUGAUUUAUGAAAAGUUAAUGAACCAAAGGCACCAGCUGCUGUUCAUGGACCUUUAGGAAUGACAUACCACCUGAAGAAGGAAUCCAACAUGAUUGUGAAUUGUGUAGAAAACCAUUUCACAUCUGAUGACCUGUGUGAUGAAAACCAUGAACAACAGGUGGAGACUUAGAGUCCAAGCUGUGCUUGCAUCUGUAGAUGACACCCCACUGGGAAAAGUAAGACCUUGUGACAUAAAUUAGUAAAAUUCAUUGAAAUUGAGAAAGGCUUGUGGACUUGAUGGUAUUCCAAAUGAAUGCCUCAGGCACAUUCAAAGAAGACCGCCGGUACAUCUGACACAUUUAUUUAAUCACUGCCUUUGGCUGUCCCAGUUUUCAAAGCCUUGGAAAAGAACAAAACUUGUAGCAUACCAAAAUCCAGUAAGGACAUGAAAUUCCCUCAAAAUUUACAUCCGCUUGGUCUCUUGUCUACAACAGGCAAACUAUUUGAGAAAGUUAUUCCAAAAAUAGCCCAAAGACACAUUGAAGGAAGAGGCCAGCUUCAUGCAAGCCAGUUUGGUUUCCCCUGUCACAGCAUGACACUUCAGUGUAGGAAGCUUAUGGAUCACGUCACAUUAAAUUUUAAGAGUAACGUGUCUCUGGUUGUGGUAUUCUCAAAUAUUGAAAAAGCCUUUGAUACAACAUGGUACCUUGACUUGCUAUAUAAAUAAUUUAAUUUAAUUUUUUUUUUAUCAGUCUAAUCAAGCCUAUUAGCCCUGUUCUUUCUCAGAGAAAAUUCAGAGUCUUCUUCAUAGAUGAAAUGUCUGCACCAAGUGAUAUACAAGCAGGGGUGCCACAAGGUUCCAUCCUGUCCCCCACAUUUUACUGCAUAUAUAUGUGUAAGUGAUACACCCCAAACACCUAGUGUCUAUCUAGGUCUCCUUGCUGAAGACACCUGUAUAUAUGUGGGUCUUUUAUAUAGUGCAAGAGGAAGGAUUUUCAGUAACAUGCUAUAUGUGCACUUGACAAAGGUAAGUUAUAUUCAUAAGAAAUAAACCCGUCCUCUCAUCAAAAAGGAUGUUACAUAAGGACUAUGACAGCAAGGGUUCAGUUGCAAAAAAAAUAUCUCUGGUCAGACCCUCAAGGAGUUUGACACCAAGACAAACUGGUGGUAAACCACUAGUUAUAAAGUAGCUUUGACUUUGACUUUUUGCUGCAGGAGUGGCAACUGCAAGUUGGUGGAUGGAGAGGAACCUCAUCCCUCCAACUGUCGAGGCUGCAGGCACGCCAAGGAAGAGAUGCAUAAGCAAAAGUUGCAGAGAUUGUUAAAGAGUUUAAUGGGAAGUAUGUUCUCUUCCAGUCACACUACCCGAAAACAGUCCUUUUCAGUGGUGCUAUGCAGCAACACACAGCAGCAGCCUCAGCCACCCACAGUUACGUAGGCCUGCCCUACCAUGAAACAAAUCGAACUCCGUGGCCUGUAGUCUGCAAGCGAACUAUACCUGCCCUACCACAGGAGGUGAAAUGAGUGCCCCCACCUCUUGAGGCCAACCAACAACAAGUACCAAGUCACUCAGUUCAGGCUCCUAAUGCAUACAGUUCAUCUGUGUACAACAUGUUCAUGGUAGUCACAGUGAUAUUUCAGCAGAUCAUGACAGAACUCGAUGGGACUAAGUCAGAAGAAGACAGAAUAAUGGCCAUCGCAAAAAUUGUAUUAAAACUCAUGAAGCAAAAUGGUUGCGCCAAGCCAGAAGAAGACAGAAUAAUGGCCAUCACAAAAAUUGUAUUAAAACUCAUGAAGCAAAAUGGUUGCUGGAUUUCAUAACUGGUAAAUAUGACUCCCAUGGUGAGGGACAGCAGCAGUUGUAAACAACAGAUCUGUCCACUCAUAGGAGAGGGCGCCCCACAUCAGCAAACCCACAUAUGUCUGAGAGUAAUAAAAUCUGGUCUUGGGGCCCCAGAUGAGUGCUUGACACCAAGACAGACCAGCCGACUGACCGUCAGUCAUAACAUAACUUUGACUUGGCUUGUUGGAGCAGUGAGUGAGUUGGAUAACUGCUGGGGUUCAGUUGUUGUGAGCUGUUGCUGGGAGACGCUGAGACCAGGGACAGUCAGGAGCCCAGAGGAAGUGGCAUAUCCGCUGUUUGAUGCUGCUACCAAGCGAUGGCUAGUGAAGCACUCUUAACAGACUGAGAAAACCUAGUGUGUCCUAUUGUAAUGUGAAGUGUGUAGAACAGUGAGAGCAUAACCCUUCCUUGUAGUUACAAGUUGCAAGAGUUCGGUAAAUCCGAUUACUGAUCCAAACCCCAUCUGUAGUCACUAAAAUUGUGACAGUAUUAUAAAGGGGUUCAUUUUUCUUGGAAUUAUGAAGCUGAGACUGAAUAAGCUAAUAAAAAUAAAUUCUUUACUGAAGUAGUAACCAACCAUCACAGGAAACUUAUGUGUUCAUCAUUUUUUCAGCAACUCAAGUUAUGUAAGCAGUGACUGAGUUGUUUAUGACUUCUGUUAAAUCCUAGCUGCAGAGAUGUACAAUAUCUGGAGGCCAUUUCCUCCAUCAGCGGUCUCAGGACACACCAUAUCACGGUGACAAGGGUCCCAAUUUAACAUCUGGUGUACUUUUUACUAAGCGGGAUUGAGCAUUCACGGAGACGUUAUUACUCAGUACAGAGAUUUAGAAGAUACGUCAGGAUGGUCUUCAGUGGCAUAAUGCUUCUAUAAAAUUUAGUAAUGACAGCAACCAUUAUUUGUACUAUUGUGAAGUUUCACCAUCUGAAACCCUGGACUGAAUUUUGGCGACUGAAAUAUAAUGUAAUGAAUUUGAUCAAUGCAUUGCCAGUCAACAGCUCUGUAAACAUAGUCCAACAUGAUGCAACAAUAGAGGAAGCUAUGUUUUCCGUGUCUGUACCCAACAGUAGGUAGCAGUCACGUGACAUGUGUUUGCUCUAUGUCUAUGCAACUUGCACCAAUGGACUGGCUGAUCACCACACCAUGGAGAUAAAGUUCCACAUAUUCCUAACCUCACAUUCCAGAUCAGAAGAAAGAAUGCCUUAUAGGCAUUAAGCACUGAAGAGGCAGCUGGUUAUACCAUAGAGCUAUUUGGGACAUGGAGAUGAAGAGAAUCUCAGUACUGGUGCCAGACACUGAACCGCUAAAACCACUAAGAGCCAAACUAUAGUCUAGCAUUGUCUUGGCAGCUGUCAUGGCUCAGAAUUUAUUCAUCACUCAAAAAUUAAUGUCAUUUACAUCAUCAGUUCUCCAUUCAGUACCUGACUAAAAUUAAUUUAAUUUAGUGAAUUCAAAUGAUUUUUUUGUGAAUAUCAAAGAAAUGAAAAAAGAGAUCCAACAAAUAUCUACAGUUCUUUCAGCUGAACUGAUGAUACAUAUAUUUCAUUAUUAUUUACAACCAUUAAUUCCUCAGCUCACAAUUUAAGCAGAACACUGCAUGGCAUGACAACCAUACUUAGUGUCAAUGAAUUUAAUAUUAAAUUGAUCUUCAGUGUUUG